rnacentral:rRNA from 2 species
AAGCUUGCUUUUGAAGAUGACGAGCGGCGGACGGGUGAGUAAUGCCUGGGAAUAUGCCUUGAUGUGGGGGAUAACCAUUGGAAACGAUGGCUAAUACCGCAUAAUGCCUACGGGCCAAAGAGGGGGAUCUUCGGACCUCUCGCGUCAAGAUUAGCCCAGGUGGGAUUAGCUAGUUGGUGAGGUAAUGGCUCACCAAGGCGACGAUCCCUAGCUGGUCUGAGAGGAUGAUCAGCCACACUGGAACUGAGACACGGUCCAGACUCCUACGGGAGGCAGCAGUGGGGAAUAUUGCACAAUGGGCGCAAGCCUGAUGCAGCCAUGCCGCGUGUGUGAAGAAGGCCUUCGGGUUGUAAAGCACUUUCAGUCGUGAGGAAGGUAGUUGCGUUAAUAGCGUAAUUAUUUGACGUUAGCGACAGAAGAAGCACCGGCUAACUCCGUGCCAGCAGCCGCGGUAAUACGGAGGGUGCGAGCGUUAAUCGGAAUUACUGGGCGUAAAGCGCAUGCAGGUGGUUUGUUAAGUCAGAUGUGAAAGCCCGGGGCUCAACCUCGGAAUUGCAUUUGAAACUGGCAGACUAGAGUACUGUAGAGGGGGGUAGAAUUUCAGGUGUAGCGGUGAAAUGCGUAGAGAUCUGAAGGAAUACCGGUGGCGAAGGCGGCCCCCUGGACAGAUACUGACACUCAGAUGCGAAAGCGUGGGGAGCAAACAGGAUUAGAUACCCUGGUAGUCCACGCCGUAAACGAUGUCUACUUGGAGGUUGUGGCCUUGAGCCGUGGCUUUCGGAGCUAACGCGUUAAGUAGACCGCCUGGGGAGUACGGUCGCAAGAUUAAAACUCAAAUGAAUUGACGGGGGCCCGCACAAGCGGUGGAGCAUGUGGUUUAAUUCGAUGCAACGCGAAGAACCUUACCUACUCUUGACAUCCAGAGAAGCCAGCGGAGACGCAGGUGUGCCUUCGGGAACUCUGAGACAGGUGCUGCAUGGCUGUCGUCAGCUCGUGUUGUGAAAUGUUGGGUUAAGUCCCGCAACGAGCGCAACCCUUAUCCUUGUUUGCCAGCGAGUAAUGUCGGGAACUCCAGGGAGACUGCCGGUGAUAAACCGGAGGAAGGUGGGGACGACGUCAAGUCAUCAUGGCCCUUACGAGUAGGGCUACACACGUGCUACAAUGGCGCAUACAGAGGGCUGCCAACCAGCGAUGGUGAGCGAAUCCCAAAAAGUGCGUCGUAGUCCGGAUUGGAGUCUGCAACUCGACUCCAUGAAGUCGGAAUCGCUAGUAAUCGUGGAUCAGAAUGCCACGGUGAAUACGUUCCCGGGCCUUGUACACACCGCCCGUCACACCAUGGGAGUGGGCUGCAAAAGAAGUGGGUAGUUAACCUUCGAGG